rnacentral:lncRNA from 1 species
CAUCUCUUGGAAGAAUUGAAUUGAGGUACGGAUUUAGAUUUCGGUUAAGUAGUUUCGCGGACGAAACUAAUUUUAAUGGAUGGAGAAAGUAAUAUAUCGAAACCUCGGUAGAGAUUAUCGAACUUUAGCCAAAUUGACUAAAGUACGCGAAAGAUAAGUUGGACAAGUUCCAAUUGGUAUUCCAAUAAGAUUGGAAGGAUUAAAAGUGAGUUUAAAAGAGUUGGAAAGGUUUUAGCGUUGUUCAGUGCAAAGUAGAAUCGAAACAACGCGAAAAACUGUAGUCUGGGCAAAGUGUACCGGUACAA